AGAGUUUGAUCAUGGCUCAGGACGAACGCUGGCGGCGCGCUUAACACAUGCAAGUCGAGCGAUAACCAUGGCUUCGGCCAUGGGGAGAGCGGCGAACGGGUGAGUAACACGUGGGUAAUCUGUCCUCGACACUGGGAUAGCCCGGGGAAACCCGGAUUAAUACCGGAUAGCCUCUCGAGCUUACGAGCUCUUGAGAAAAGAUGGCUUAGGCUUUCGGUUGAGGAGGAGCCUGCGGCGGAUUAGCUUGUUGGCGGGGUAACGGCCCACCAAGGCGACGAUCCGUAGCUGGUCUGAGAGGACGAUCAGCCACACUGGGACUGAGACACGGCCCAGACUCCUACGGGAGGCAGCAGUGGGGAAUCUUGGACAAUGGGCGCAAGCCUGAUCCAGCCAUGCCGCGUGGGUGAUGAAGGCCCUAGGGUUGUAAAGCCCUUUCGGCGGGGAAGAUAAUGACGGUACCCGCAGAAGAAGCCCCGGCUAACUUCGUGCCAGCAGCGGCGGUAAUUC
rnacentral:rRNA from 1 species